rnacentral:tRNA from 1 species
GCCCUUGUAGUAUAUAUAAUACUUUGGUCUUGUAAACCAAAAAUGGAGAUCACCCUCCCUAGGACA